AGAUUAGCGACAAUCAGUCAGAUCAGUGAUCAAGUGACAGAUUCUCUCUGAGGGUGAUCCUGCUGGUCAUUUUAGUGUAACGGUUACUAUUGAAUGCACCAAUGAACUAAUGAUAUCAUCUGCAAUAUUUUUCAAUCUACUAGUUAGUGUUAACCUCCAUCAAAGAAGAGAGAAAUUGAAAUACAAGUCACCAUAGCGUGACACGAAGAAGUCAUUAUUAGAUAAACUAUGACCAACCUUAUAGAAAAUGGCAACCGCCAUUGCCGUCGUCGUGUGGAGCUCGUGAUAUCUUACGGUUGCCACUGCUCUGGAGAACUCAUCUCUGUAUCCAGUAAUUUCACGGCCAUAUCUUUCACCGUUCUAAGCGAGAUACUGCCUACAAAGCAAGCUGAUUAACGCAUAAAAUAGAUGACAUUGAGAUUCCCAUGCAGACGACUUUGUUUAGUUCCUUCGGUAAAUAAUCCAAAUAUUUAGUUACUACUCUGUGGUAAGUUUUGGCGACAGACCUCUGUUUGUAAUAUUUACUUAUAGACACAUGUUAUU